CUAAAAUAUAAAAUGUAUUUUUGAAGAAAAAACUGUCUCUUCACCUUCAUUCCUGAGAGAAGAAAAAGCGCGCCGAUCAGCUUGUCCGGGCGGAAAUGGAAACUAUGGAUUUAAUUCCUUCAACUUCAUGACGUUCAUGCUUCUAGUUUUCAGUUUGGUUGCAAAUGUAAACAAUAACAUAAACAACAACAACAACAACGCCAAUAAGAAUAAUAUCAACGCUAUUAACCAGGAUUCCAACAAUGUCGCCUCUAAUACGAAUGCUGUCAAUCAAAUAAUGGUAACUGUGUUGCCUAUUCCUGGGAAACGAAACAUAGAAAAUUUUCUUCUUAAACACAGGGAUUUGGCUCAUUUUCAGAUGCAAUUUUCAAAGACGCCAUUUUUCUUUUUUUUAUUAACUCUAAUUUGGUUUCAAUGGCUCAAUCUUUGGUAACUCCCCGUUAUAGGUAAAAUGUUAUAAAGGAAUCCGUUUUUACAAAAUUCCGACGAAUAUGAAGUCACCAA